AGAACGAACGCUGGCGGCAUGCCUAACACAUGCAAGUCGAACACUCACCGGGCUUCGGUUCGGUGGGAGUGGCGCACGGGUGAGUAGCGCGUGGGAACCUGCCCUGUUGUGGGGGAUAACCGAGGGAAACUUCGGCUAAUACCGCAUGCGCCCGGGGAAACCCGGGGAAAGAUUUAUCGCAGCAGGAGGGGCCCGCGUCGGAUUAGGUAGUUGGUAGGGUAACGGCCUACCAAGCCUUUGAUCCGUAGCUGGUCUGAGAGGAUGAUCAGCCACACUGGGACUGAGACACGGCCCAGACUCCUACGGGAGGCAGCAGUGGGGAAUAUUGGACAAUGGGCGCAAGCCUGAUCCAGCAAUGCCGCGUGAGUGAUGAAGGCCUUAGGGUUGUAAAGCUCUUUCGCCCGCGACGAUGAUGACGGUAGCGGGAGAAGAAGCCCGGCUAACUUCGUGCCAGCAGCCGC
rnacentral:rRNA from 1 species